GAUGAACGCUGGCGGCGUGCCUAAUACAUGCAAGUCGAGCGAACAGAUAAGGAGCUUGCUCCUUUGACGUUAGCGGCGGACGGGUGAGUAACACGUGGGUAACCUACCUAUAAGACUGGGAUAACUUCGGGAAACCGGAGCUAAUACCGGAUAACAUUUGGAACCGCAUGGUUCUAAAGUGAAAGAUGGUUUUGCUAUCACUUAUAGAUGGACCCGCGCCGUAUUAGCUAGUUGGUAAGGUAACGGCUUACCAAGGCGACGAUACGUAGCCGACCUGAGAGGGUGAUCGGCCACACUGGAACUGAGACACGGUCCAGACUCCUACGGGAGGCAGAAGUAGGGAAUCUUCCGCAAUGGGCGAAAGCCUGACGGAGCAACGCCGCGUGAGUGAUGAAGGGUUUCGGGUCGUAAAACUCUGUUAUUAGGGAAGAACAAAUGUGUAAGUAACUGUGCACGUCUUGACGGUACCUAAUCAGAAAGCCACGGCUAACUACGUG
rnacentral:rRNA from 1 species